UGGGAAUUUCUGCCUAGAUUUCAGCAGAUGUAUGGAAAUGCCUAGAUUCCCAGGCAAAAGUUUGCUGCAGGGGCGGGGCGCUCAUAGAGAACCUCUUCUAGGGCAAUGUGAAAGGAAAUGUGGGGUUGGAUACCCCACGUAGAGUCCCUACUGCAGCACUGCCUAGUGGAGCUGUGAGAAGAGGACUACCGUCCUUCAGAUCCCAGAAUGGUAGAUUCCCCGAUAGCUUGCACUUUGCACCUGGAAAAGCUGCAGACACUCAAAGCCAGCCGUUAAAGCAGCCAGGAGGGAGACUGUACCCUGCAGAGCCACAGGGGCGGAGCUGCCCAAGACCGUGGGAACCCACCUCUUGCAUCAGCGUGACCUGAAUGUGAGACCUGGAGAAAAAGGAGAUAAUUUUGGAGCUUUAAAAUUUGACUGCCCCACUGGAUUUUGGACUUGCAUGGGCCCUGUAACCCCUUUUUUGGGGCCAAUUUCUCCCAUUUGAAAUGGCUGUUGUGUCUAGGAAGUAACUAGCUUGUUUUUGAUUUUACAGGCUCAUAGGUAGAAGGGACUUGCAUCGUCUCAGAGACUUUGGACUUCAGGCUUUUGGGUUAAUGCAGAAAUGAGUUAAGACUUAACGGUGAUUGUUGGGAAGGCAGUACCCCAGGGAGAGGUAAUUGAAUCAUGAGGGCCGGUCUUUCCUGUGCUGUUCUCCUGAUAGUGAAUAAGUCUCGCGAGAUCUGAUGGGUUUAUCAGGGGUUUCCGCUAUUGUUUCGUCCUCAUUUUCUCUUGCUGCUACCAUGGAAGAAGCGACUUUCGCCUCCCGCCGUGAUUCUGAGGCCUUUCCAGCCAUGUCAAACUCAAAAUGUGACUGAAAAACAGAAGCAUUUGGAAUACGUAACAGAAGUCAUUAAAAAGAGUGGAAGUGGUGGACAAGGGGAGAAACAGUUGGUGUUUUCAAGUAAGAGUACCAGAAAGGCAGAAAGGAGAGACCUACUUAAAUAAAGAAGAAGAAAAAAUGUGUUUGAGUAUCUUUUGGAUUAUUGCUAAAUAUUACCUUGUACAUAUUGAGAAUGAGAUUCCACAGUGGCGAUCCAAGAACAACUAUCAUGGAGCAAUAAGCUGGAGAACAAGAGUUUGUGAAAUCCUGGGAGAUGCUGGAGUCUCAAUUAGCCACAGAAAAGAGAUAUUGUUGAAAACCUGAGUAUAGCUAGAGUUGCGUUAGAGUAAUAACUAUCCUUUCUGUACUCUAAAAAGUUUAGAAAAGAAGGUCUGGAUGAGUCAAGUUUAUGCAAAAGUAAGUUAACUAUCUGAAAAUACUUUUUAAAAGAAAACGUACCCGUUCAAAAUAUCCAGUGUACAAUAAUGACAUUAAUAGAUAUUCAAAAUAGCAAGAAGUGUAACACACAACUAUGAGAAAAACCAAUCAGUAGAAACAGAACCAAAAAUUAAGAUGGUAGUAUUGUCAGUCAAGGACUUUAAAAUAUAUAUUUAAAAGAUAUUCAAGAAUUUAAAGGAGCCAGGUGUGAUGAUUCAUUCCUGUAAUCACAGCGGUUUGAAAGGCCAAGGUGGGAGGAUCCACUGAGGCCAGGGUUUCAAGACCAGCCCUGGAAACAUAGUGAGCCUGGUGACAAGUGCCUGCAGUCCCAGAUGUGGGAGGAUCACUUGAGUUAGAGGCUGCAUGCAGCAAACUAUAAACGCACUCUUUCACUACAUGCUGGGCAACAAA
rnacentral:lncRNA from 1 species